rnacentral:rRNA from 1 species
GCAGGAUCCAUUCUCUGCCACCGAAUACAUUAGCAUGGGAUAAUGGAAUAGGACCCUGUCCUCCUAUUUUCAGUUGGUUUUGGCAGCGCGAGGACUAGGGUAAUGAUUAAUAGGGAUAGUUGGGGGCAUUAAUAUUUAAUUGUCAGAGGUGAAAUUCUUGGAUUUAUGAAAGAUUAACUUCUGCGAAAGCAUCUGCCAAGGAUGUUUUCAUUAAUCAAGAACGAAAGUUAGGGGAUCGAAGACGAUCAGAUACCGUCGUAGUCUUAACCAUAAACGAUGCCGACCAGCGAUUAGGAGACGUUGAAUACAAAACACCACCAUCGGUGCGGCUGUUCUUGGCGUCGGUUUCGGCCGGCGCGGGGAUGGCUUAGCCCGGUGGCACCGGUGAAUGACUCCCCUAGCAGCUUGUGAGA